GUAAUGUCUGGGAAACUGCCUGAUGGAGGGGGAUAACUACUGGAAACGGUAGCUAAUACCGCAUAAUGUCGCAAGACCAAAGUGGGGGACCUUCGGGCCUCAUGCCAUCAGAUGUGCCCAGAUGGGAUUAGCUAGUAGGUGGGGUAACGGCUCACCUAGGCGACGAUCCCUAGCUGGUCUGAGAGGAUGACCAGCCACACUGGAACUGAGACACGGUCCAGACUCCUACGGGAGGCAGCAGUGGGGAAUAUUGCACAAUGGGCGCAAGCCUGAUGCAGCCAUGCCGCGUGUGUGAAGAAGGCCUUCGGGUUGUAAAGCACUUUCAGCGGGGAGGAAGGCGUUAAGGUUAAUAACCUUGGCGAUUGACGUUACCCGCAGAAGAAGCACCGGCUAACUCCGUGCCAGCAGCCGCGGUAAUACGGAGGGUGCAAGCGUUAAUCGGAAUUACUGGGCGUAAAGCGCACGCAGGCGGUCUGUCAAGUCGGAUGUGAAAUCCCCGGGCUCAACCUGGGAACUGCAUUCGAAACUGGCAGGCUAGAGUCUUGUAGAGGGGGGUAGAAUUCCAGGUGUAGCGGUGAAAUGCGUAGAGAUCUGGAGGAAUACCGGUGGCGAAGGCGGCCCCCUGGACAAAGACUGACG
rnacentral:rRNA from 1 species